rnacentral:rRNA from 1 species
GGCGUACUGGGCCGACGUCGCAUGCUCCCGCGCCGCCAUGGCGGCCGCGGGAAUUCGAUUCCAUCAUAAUCUCAAGGAAGAAGAUAUGACGGUACUUGAGGAAUAAGCCACGGCUAAUUCCGUGCCAGCAGCCGCGGUAAUACGGGAGUGGCAAGCGUUAUCCGGAAUUAUUGGGCGUAAAGCGUCCGCAGGCGGCUUUUCAAGUCUGCUGUUAAAGCGUGGAGCUUAACUCCAUCAUGGCAGUGGAAACUGAAAGGCUUGAGUAUGGUAGGGGCAGAGGGAAUUCCCGGUGUAGCGGUGAAAUGCGUAGAUAUCGGGAAGAACACCAGUGGCGAAGGCGCUCUGCUGGGCCAUUACUGACGCUCAUGGACGAAAGCCAGGGGAGCGAAAG